CCUACGGGAGGCAGCAGUCGAGAAUCAUUCACAAUGGGGGAAACCCUGAUGGUGCGACGCCGCGUGGGGGAAUGAAGGUCUUCGGAUUGUAAACCCCUGUCAUGUGGGAGCAAAUUAAAAAGAUAGUACCACAAGAGGAAGAGACGGCUAACUCUGUGCCAGCAGCCGCGGUAAUACAGAGAGCUCAAGCGUUGUUCGGAAUCACUGGGCGUAAAGCGUGCGUAGGCGGUUUCGUAAGUCGUGUGUGAAAGGCGCGGGCUCAACCCGCGGACGGCACAUGAUACUGCGAGACUAGAGUAAGGGAGGGGGAACCGGAAUUCUCGGUGUAGGAGUAAAAUGCGUAGAGAUCGAGAGGAACACUCGUGGCGAAGGCGAGUUCCUAGAAAUUAACUGACGCUGAGGCACGAAGGCCAGGGGAGCGAAAGGGAUUAGAUACCCGAGUAGUC
rnacentral:rRNA from 1 species